rnacentral:lncRNA from 1 species
GGGAUCAUGUGUGGAUACCCAGAGGCUCGGGGGAAAUGAUCUACUUUCCUUUUCCUGGAACAGAAAUUAACCAGUUUGACUGAAUUCUUUUAUUUGGCAGCCAAGAGUUUGGAGGCCAAGCAGACCCAACCGUGGAAGAUCAAAGUAGGGCAAAUUUUGCCUUUUUUGGUUGUUGGACAAAUGCUGUGGACAUGUCCAUUAAACCUCAGAGAAGAGGCAAGAUCUGCCUUAAGGAGGCGUGGAAGCAGGGCUAGGACUGCCCUAAAGAGCAGGUCACAGCUGACCCAGCAGAGGUGACUCGGGAACAUCUAUCUGCCCUUUAGCCAGCUCUGUGCUGGAGCUGCUCACGCCACGACCCCUGAUUGUGAAAUCUCCUCCUAACCCUGUGUUCAGUGACGUCACAUUGUUAGCUUGACAUCAGCCAUGGUGGGAGGAGCAUCGACACUGCAGAAAUUGGCAAAGGUUCCAAAUCAGGGCUCCUCUACCUGCUGAGAGCUGAUGAUUCUAGCUAGGAUGGUGGACUCUGGAACCAAACUCCCUGGGUUUCUAAUCCCGCUUUGACUUGGGGACCACUUCCUAGCUGUGACCUUGGGUGUCAGUUUUCUCAUCUGUAAGACGGUGGUGGUCACAGUGCUUCCCUGCUGGUAGAGUCACUGUGAGAAUUCACUGAGUUAAUCCAAUUCAAGCAGUCAGACGAGCGCCUUGUACACAAUAAUGCCAUGGUACCCAGAGGCCAAUGACCUCACAGGGAAGAAGUUUCUUAGAACCACAACACUUUCGGUGCGGUGACUCCUCCUUCAAAGUUACUCAGCAUGUAAUGUUUCCAACAACACUCAAGCAAUGCUUUUCAGGACACCUGGACCGGGUUUAAGUCCUCAUCUGUCUGUGCUGAUUUGACCUGUUGGGACUUAAUUAAUCUCUCAUCAAUUGCGGUCUGAUCUACUCUGCCAAGUCAACUUUUUAAUGAGGCACAUUUCCACAAACAAAUGUUUAAUUUUGACAUCUUCUUUUCAUCCUGGUUUCUCUGUAAAACCAUUUAAGGUUCUGCUGUGUUUUU